UAAAAUAUCUUAGCUUUCUAAUAGG
rnacentral:siRNA from 1 species